rnacentral:lncRNA from 1 species
CACCACCAACUUACUAUAAGCAAACACCUAACUACGCUUCACCUCCACCACCUUUGAAGUACGAGAAAUCUGUCACCUAUGAUUCACCUCCACCACCUGUGAAGUACGAGCAAGCACCCACCUAUGCUUCACCUCCACCACCUGUGAAGUACGAGCAAGCACCCACCUAUGCUUCACCUCCACCACCUGUGAAGUACGAGCAAACACCCACUUACGCUUCACCUCCACCACCUGUGAAGUACGAGCAAACACCCACCUAUGCUUCACCUUCCCCACCCACGUACUAUAAGCAAACACCCACCUAUGCUUCACCUCUACCACCUGUGAAGUACGAGCAGUUAGUCACCUAUGCUUCACCUCCACCACCUGUGAAGUACGAGUAGUCAGUCACCUAUGCUUCACCUCCACCGCCGUCAACAUCUCCCCCACCAACCUACUACUAAUAUUCAACCCUUCUCUUCAAUCAUUUUCCAUGUCUCCAUGACUUAUUCCUUUCAUCCUCCUUCCCACCAUAAUUUUAUGUAUGUUCCCCAAAAUGGUCGACU